rnacentral:rRNA from 1 species
GACGAACGCUGGCGGCGUGCUUAACACAUGCAAGUCGAACGGAAAGGCCCUGCUUGCAGGGUACUCGAGUGGCGAACGGGUGAGUAACACGUGGGUGAUCUGCCCUGCACUUCGGGAUAAGCCUGGGAAACUGGGUCUAAUACCGGAUAGGAGCCAUUUUUAGUGUGAUGGUUGGAAAGUUUUUUCGGUGUAGGAUGAGCUCGCGGCCUAUCAGCUUGUUGGUGGGGUAAUGGCCUACCAAGGCGGCGACGGGUAGCCGGCCUGAGAGGGUGGACGGCCACAUUGGGACUGAGAUACGGCCCAGACUCCUACGGGAGGCAGCAGGGGGGAAUAUUGCACAAGGGGCGCAAGCCUGAUGCAGCGACGCCGCGUGGGGGAUGACGGCCUUCGGAUUGUAAACUCCUUUCGCUAGGGACGAAGCUUUUUGUGACGGUACCUAGAUAAGAAGCACCGGCUAACUACGUG